AGCUGUAGGGAUUCAGCUCAGGCUGGAGUUGCUGGAGAAGAAGUUCUGGACAGCCACGAGACAGCCCAACAACACCGAUUGCAGCACAAUAGAUGGAAUGUGCCCUAUCAACUGUGAUGACGAUAAUCUGAACUGCUAUCUUAUUGACAACAAUGGCUUCAUCCUGGUUUCCAAGGACAAAAAAGAGG